rnacentral:rRNA from 1 species
UACGAAGGGGGCUAGCGUUGCUCGGAAUCACUGGGCGUAAAGCGCACGUAGGCGGCUUUCUAAGUCAGGGGUGAAAUCCUGGAGCUCAACUCCAGAACUGCCUUUGAUACUGGGGAUCUCGAGUCCGGGAGAGGUGAGUGGAACUGCGAGUGUAGAGGUGAAAUUCGUAGGUAUUCGCAAGAACACCAGUGGCGAAGGCGGCUCACUGGCCCGGAACUGACGCUGAGGUGCGAAAGCGUGGGGAGCAAACAGG